rnacentral:rRNA from 1 species
ACGAACGCUGGCGGCGCGCUUAACACAUGCAAGUCGAACGGAAAGGCCCCAGCUUGCUGGGGUACUCGAGUGGCGAACGGGUGAGUAACACGUGGGUGAUCUGCCCUGCACUCUGGGAUAAGCCUGGGAAACUGGGUCUAAUACCGGAUAGGACCGUGCUUUAGUGUGUGCGGUGGAAAGUUUUUCGGUGCAGGAUGAGCCCGCGGCCUAUCAGCUUGUUGGUGGGGUAAUGGCCUACCAAGGCGGCGACGGGUAGCCGGCCUGAGAGGGUGUACGGCCACAUUGGGACUGAGACACGGCCCAGACUCCUACGGGAGGCAGCAGUGGGGAAUAUUGCACAAUGGGCGCAAGCCUGAUGCAGCGACGCCGCGUGGGGGAUGACGGCCUUCGGGUUGUAAACCCCUUUCGGCAGGGACGAAGCUUUUGUGACGGUACCUGCAGAAGAAGCACCGGCUAACUACGUG